AACGAACGCUGGCGGCAUGCCUAACACAUGCAAGUCGAACGAAGCCUUCGGGCUUAGUGGCGCACGGGUGCGUAACGCGUGGGAAUCUGCCCUUUGGUUCGGAAUAACAGUUGGAAACGACUGCUAAUACCGGAUGAUGACGAAAGUCCAAAGAUUUAUCGCCAGAGGAUGAGCCCGCGUAGGAUUAGCUAGUUGGUGUGGUAAAGGCGCACCAAGGCGACGAUCCUUAGCUGGUCUGAGAGGAUGAUCAGCCACACUGGGACUGAGACACGGCCCAGACUCGUACGGGAGGCAGCAGUGGGGAAUAUUGGACAAUGGGCGAAAGCCUGAUCCAGCAAUGCCGCGUGAGUGACGAAGGCCCUAGGGUUGUAAAGCUCUUUUACCCGGGAUGAUAAUGACAGUACCGGGAGAAUAAGCCCCGGCUAACUCCGUGCCAGCCGCCGCAGUAA
rnacentral:rRNA from 1 species